AAUUUUCCGUCAUUUACUUUUUCAUUUGAAGACGCUAAGAGAUUGACUGAAUAAUUUUAGAACAGUAGCAGAACUCAAAUAGCGAAUAAACAACAAAUGUGGUCGAUUGAAUGUAUUCCAGUAUUCCAGGAAUUUAAACAGCAAAAUAAUAAUAGUAUAUGCGUACAUACAUAUAUUUAUAUACUUAUGUGCAAAGCAGAAGACUCGAUAGGGCCAUCACAUUAACGCAUCUGAACUGAUUGAUCAACAAUUCAUUCAAGAAACCCUUCAGCAGAUACCCAAAAUAACCUGAAGGAAUAAAGAUGUCACCAGGAAAUACUUGAAAUAUGCUGGAAUUACAAAGCUUAAAGAAUUUAUUUAUUGUCUAAUAUGCGUUAGCAUAUAUUUAUAUAA
rnacentral:lncRNA from 1 species